GCCAAAGUGGGAGCCCAGGCAGAGGAGGCGCCGAGAGCUGCCAGUACGCUGUCACCUCUCAAUUGUCCCCUGCUAGAAUAACAGAGUAAUUGAUAAUCAUGGCCAUAAGAGGGGUGGGGGGGCAGAGUCAGGAAUUUCUGCACUAUGUGGCACAAGGAGCUCCCUGAGGCCUCUCCAGAAGCAGAUGCCAGCACCAUGCUUCCUGUAAAGCCUGCAGAACCAUGAGCCAAUUCUUCUUUUCUUGUCUUGCUGCUGCUCCCUCUUUGGGUCCGCACUGCCUUUAUGAGCUGUAACAGUCACCGCGAAGGUCUGCAGCUUCAAUCCUGAGGCCAGCGAGACCACGAACCCACCAGGAGGAAUGAACAACUCCGGAUGGGAGGAACGAACAACUCCGGAUGGGAGGAACGAACAACUCCAGACGCGCGCCGCUUUAAGAGCUGUAACAUUCACUGCGAAGGUCUGCAGCUUCACUCCUGAAGCCAGCGAGACCAUGAACCCACCAGAAGGAAGAAACUCCGAACACGUCCGAACAUCAGAAGGAACAAACUCCAGACACACCAUCUUUAAGAACUGUAAUACUCACCGCGAGGUUCGGCAGCUUCAGUCUUGAAGUCAAUGAGUCCAAGAACCCACCAAUUCUGGACACAGUAGGAUAGUGUGUUAUGAAGAUGUAUUUAUUAGGAGGUAAGCCUCCUCGAAAAAAUCAAAAGACCUUUGUUGCACCAAAUUCCUUGCUAUAAUGAUUCCUGUUAGAGUGAAACGCCUAUUUGCUUCCAGAGUAUAAAUUUCAUUCCAAUUGGAGGAAAAGGCUUAAAUGACUUCAAGAAACACAUUGUAAAUUUGCCACCUCUUUUGCAUUUUCCUGAGAUAUUUUCCUCAAGGAAUUGACGUGCAAAUCACCAAGGUCUACAUAUUUUUCCCAUUACCUACAAAAGUAGUGACUAUACCAAUUAGAAAUUUUGUUCACUAGUAAAAAAUCAAUAAGAGUACACUGCUUGGACACUUACAUAAGAAGUUAUAAUUUUUUUUUCUUUCUGAAUCAUUUCUCCUAAGCCGUUUUCUACUGACAGGAGUCUGUCUCUUCACAUUAGUGACAGGAAGAAAUAAUUAAGUGUAAGUUGUCACUUGUGAUCGGAAGAUCCAUGAAGUAAAAGUGAACUAAGUGGGGCAGAUGAAAUCCUGGCUGUCCUCUCUACAUCUGCUGAAAUAGACUUAGGAAUCAUCUCUGAAACAUUCCCACUUCUAAUUUCCAGAAUUUAUGUGGAUUACAAAUGAGAAUAAUCUAGAUUUUUCUUGUAGAAUCUUGAAGAGGCAUUCUUUAUUUUUAAUCACUUACCCUUAGGAAUAUCCUCAGAAUGUGCCUGAAAUUAGGACAAAUCUAUGUAUUAUAGUUAGAGUGAAAUAUUAGUAAUUGUUUAAUGUCACUACGCCUAACUUAACUGUUAGUGUGAAUUUUGAGUGGAUAAAUAAGGAAUAUUUAUUGCUCUCAUUGUUCAUUCAUUCAACAAGCAUUUAGUGAAUACCUUCCAUAUACCAGAGAUUUUUCAAGUAAUUGAGAAAAUAAAGAUAAUUAAGAUAGUUCACCUCAAGUUUCUCCCAGUUUAGAAGAAGAUAAAUUAGAAAAUUGAUGGUUAGAAUAUAGCAUGGUCAGAGCUAUGGGAAAAGAGAAUAUCAUAUGAGACUGGUGAACAGACAUGAGGAUGCAAUGCUUGUUCUUGGUCUGGAAGGAUACUUUGGAGCUAUUUAGGAGACUAAUGAUGGAAGACUUUGCUGGGUUGGGUAAAAUGUAGCAACUGCAAUAAUAGAGAAAAUUGCAGAAAAAAGGCCAGUGUCUGUCUAUUCUGGCUGCUGUAACAAAAAUACCCUAGACUGGAUGGCUUAUAAACAACAGAAAUUUAUUUCUCAUAUCUCUAGAUCCUGGAAUGUUCAAGAUUAAGGUGCUGGCUGAUUUAGUGUCUUUUGAGGGCCUGUUUCUUGUUGCUUCGUGGGAUGGUGUAAGGAACAAAGCAACUUUCUGGGCCAUCUUUUAUAAAGGCACUAAUACCAUGCACAAGGGCUCUGCACUUACGAUCUAAUCACCUACCAGAGGCCCCACCUCCUGAUAUCAUCACCUUGAGAGCGAGGAUCUCAACAUAUAAAUUUUAGGAGAACACAAAUAGACCAUAGUCACCAACAACUGCAAAGUCAAGUAGAUAUGAGGCUGCACCUCUGGGGAGCAGCAAGUAAUGUGGUCUAGCUGGGGAGAAGGGUAAGGAAGGAAUAAUGUAGGAGGUGAGCCUGAAGAAAGAGAGGCAAUGGUCAGAUCAUAAAGCCUCAAAUGCUUCCCUGAGAAGUUUGCAUUUUAUUCUGAAGAUUAUAGGAGGGCACUGUAGAUUUCCAAACAUGGCUAGUUUUGUAUUUUACAAGGAUUACUCUGGUAUUAAGAUAUUAGCAAGACUGGGGAUAAGGGACCAGUUAAGAAGAGAAAAAGAAGGAAUGAAGAUGCCCUCCCUUCAUCUCCAUCUUUUUAAUGGAAAGAUGGUUGUGCUUCUACCUGAAAAUGGAAAUAAUGAGAAGAAGCGACUUUCUUCUUUGGGAGGUGGAGGAUGAAGAGAAAGGCCAAGUUCAAUGUCACUGAAAACAGGACAGAAGGCUCUGAGCUAUGUGCUCUGCUAAGUGGAACUAUUUUGUUUACAUGCACCAACGCCCCAUUUGCAGAGAACCACGACGUAAUCAGUGCAAGAUACACAAAGGUAGAUUUAUUUUGCAGCCUGGCUUAAAAACAAUAAUGCCAAGACCUCUCAAUUUCAAAAGUUUAAUUUGUUUGAUAAAAUGCUAAGAACUGUAUUGCUCAAUGGUCUUUAUCAUGUUCAGUAACCAUGAUGGAUAGAAUUCAGAUGAUGUCUUCCCUUUAUUUAAUAGAAGUGUUUUAUAUAUAUAUAUUUCUAUUAUUAAUUUAUAUAGUAAUGGUACACUAUUCAAUAAUGAUGAGCUACUUGUAAUGGUCUCAUGAAGAUUAUAUUCUUGAAAAAAAGGUUAAAAUAUGGUUUUCUUUUGAAAAGCAUUAUUAGAAUAUAGGGGUUUAAAGAAGAAACAUCAUCUGGUUGAACUAUCUCAUGCAAAUGAGAAAAUGUCAUUCCAAAAGAGAAAUGAAUUCAUUCAAGUGCAUGCAGGUAAUUGUAUCAAAAGCUGUCUAAUUCUGCAACCAGUGUUAUUUCUAUCAUACUCCAUUGCCUUCCUUGUACAAGUUUGUUGGCAGACAAUGAAAUGCAAUGUUCACUUUCCUGGAGCUCCAAUCUCCAUCCUGAAAUCACAUUUUUAUGCAAUCUGAU
rnacentral:lncRNA from 10 species